GAAGUGUGGACGCCAGUCUGCAUGGAGCCGACCUUGAAAUACCACCCUUUAAUGUUUGAUGUUCUAACGUUGACCCGUAAUCCGGGUUGCGGACAGUGUCUGGUGGGUAGUUUGACUGGGGCGGUCUCCUCCUAAAGAGUAACGGAGGAGCACGAAGGUUGGCUAAUCCUGGUCGGACAUCAGGAGGUUAGUGCAAUGGCAUAAGCCAGCUUGACUGCGAGCGUGACGGCGCGAGCAGGUGCGAAAGCAGGUCAUAGUGAUCCGGUGGUUCUGAAUGGAAGGGCCAUCGCUCAACGGAUAAAAGGUACUCCGGGGAUAACAGGCUGAUACCGCCCAAGAGUUCAUAUCGACGGCGGUGUUUGGCACCUCGAUGUCGGCUCAUCACAUCCUGGGGCUGAAGUAGGUCCCAAGGGUAUGGCUGUUCGCCAUUUAAAGUGGUACGCGAGCUGGGUUUAGAACGUCGUGAGACAGUUCGGUCCCUAUCUGCCGUGGGCGCUGGAGAACUGAGGGGGGCUGCUCCUAGUACGAGAGGACCGGAGUGGACGCAUCACUGGUGUUCGGGUUGUCAUGCCAA
rnacentral:rRNA from 1 species